GCCUGGGUGGCUCAGUCGGUUGAGCGUCUGACUUCAGCUCAGGUCAUGAUCUCGCGGUUUGUGAGUUUAAGCCCCAUGUCGGGCU
rfam:Felis catus isolate Cinnamon breed Abyssinian chromosome C2, whole genome shotgun sequence.